rnacentral:rRNA from 1 species
GACGAACGCUGGCGGCGUGCUUAACACAUGCAAGUCGAACGGGCCUUGUCCCCUUUUUUUUUGGGGGUGGGGUUAGUGGCGAACGGGUGAGUAACACGUGAGUAACCUGCCCCUCACUUCUGGAUAACCGCUUGAAAGGGUGGCUAAUACGGGGUGUUCUGGCCUGCUCGCAUGGGUGGGUUUGGAAAGAUUCGACCGGUUUUGGUUGUUUUGGUGGGGGAUGGGCUCGCGGCCUAUCAGCUUGUUGGUGGGGUGAUGGCCUGCCAAGGCUUUGACGGGUAGCCGGCCUGAGAGGGUGGGCGGUCACACUGGGAGUGAGACACGGCCCAGACUCCUACGGGAGGCAGCAGUGGGGAAUAUUGCACAAUGGGCGCAAGCCUGAUGCAGCGACGCCGCGUGAGGGAUGGAGGCCUUCGGGUUGUGAACCUCUUUCGCCAGUGAAGAAGGUCCUGCUCUUUGUGGUGGGGUUGACGGUAGCUGGGUUAAUGAAGCGCCGGCUAACUACGUG